CUUAAUUUAGUUUAAAAAAAAUUUUGAAUUGUGGUUUCAAAGAUGAUUUAGUCAAUAAGUA
rnacentral:tRNA from 1 species